rnacentral:rRNA from 1 species
GACGAACGCUGGCGGCGUGCUUAACACAUGCAAGUCGAACGGAAAGGCCCUGCUUUUGUGCGGUGCUGGAGUGGCGAACGGGUGAGUAACACGUGAGUAACCUGCCCUUGUCUUUGGGAUAACUUCAGGAAACUGGGGCUAAUAUCGGAUAGGAGACCCUGCUGCAUGGUGGGGGUUGGAAAGUUUCGGCGGUUGGGGAUGGACGCGCGGCUUACCAGCUUGUUGGUGGGGUAGUGGCUUACCAAGGCUUUGACGGGUAGCCGGCCUGAGAGGGUGACCGGCCACAUUGGGACUGAGAUACGGCCCAGACUCCUACGGGAGGCAGCAGUGGGGAAUAUUGCACAAUGGGCGGAAGCCUGAUGCAGCGACGCCGCGUGCGGGAUGACGGCCUUCGGGUUGUAAACCGCUUUCGCCUGUGACGAAGCGUGAGUGACGGUAAUGGGUGAAGAAGCACCGGCUAACUACGUG